CAAUAUAUCUAGUCAGAGAUAGCUGAAAGCAUCAUUUGGCCCAGGAAUACAAAAACUGCAAGAUGUCCUCACAGCCUGUGCACUGGGUAUGAUGUGCGGAACCCUUGCAGGGAGGCAAAGGGCACAGAGGAUCAAGCGAACGAUGAGCAGCUCAGCCCACCCGAACCCUGGGCUGCCAGGCUGCAGGUCCUGUGACCACUCACACAAACAGUCACCGCCACCAGAGAGUGAAAUGGGGCUCAAGCACAGAGGCCAGAGAAGGUGCACACAGGUGCAUCUCACUAUGGUUUCAAGUUCUCAGGAAAAGCAGGACUGUUUGCCCUUACAUUUCAGAUUAUUCUUUUGAUAAGUUUAACUUCAGGCCAUCAACACUGAUAAUUAUACUUUGGAGAAAGUAUAAUGAAAAAAUGCACUAAUAUGCUACGCUGCUUUCUAUCUGGAGGAAACUAUAUUGCUUCUUGACUUAUAAUACAGCCAACAGUACCUAAAAGUAUAAUGACAGAUUAGUCUUAAUUUAUUAAAUUUGCCUGUAAAGCUACUAGGCAUUAAAAUUGUUCUGCCCUUUACAAAGUACGCCUGUGGUGCUUGAAGUAAUGUUCUCCUCCACUGGUGAAGUUAGAGGUUAAUCAUGGGCAAUAUAAGGAGACCUUUCCUUUAGUUUCUCUAAAUGUGCAGGUCAUAAAUUUCAACGCAUUUUAGAGAGUACAGGGUAGGCAAGUAGGAGGAGACAAACAAAUCCAUCAUUUGGAGCACAAUAAAAAAAAAUUAACAACAGCUUAGAUUCAGGAAAAUAUAAUAUUCUGUAACCUUGCUGCCUUGGUUCAGAAAACGAAUGAAAUAAUUUCAGACAAAACGUGGCAAUAGCAGGUGUUUGUGUGGGCUGGGAGUGUGCUCCCUCUGAAGGACGACAGACACACACAUAUGUUGCCUGAGCGUACUGUACAGUACUUUAUAUGCUGAACAUUGAGCUGCCCUGUAAAAAACAUACACUUUCACAUUAGUCUAAAUCAAGUCCUGAGCAAAGCCUUUGCCCAAACAACACUUAGAGAGCAUUGCAAAGGGCAGCUGAGAGCAACUUUCAAUCAUUUGACAUGACAUUUUAUCUGACUAAGCAGUCUGGCUGGCCUGCUUACAGCUUGGGGACAAGUGAAAGUCCUUGUUAAAGAGAAAGACACAUGUUAUUUGCAGAACUUCAACAUGAUAAAAAAAAAAUCCCCUUUUAAUCAAUAGAUGAUCAAAGCCUCUACCACUUAGUGUGCUCUAAGUGGGACACUGCAUGACUUGUCAAAAACCCCUUUGUCUCCUACACACCUGGCGUGCCUGGGAGAUAGCUUGCAGGUGGUGGAGUUUGCUUGCUUCAAAGUAAGCAAAAUCUGUUGAGACUGUGAAACCAAAAAAUGUUGAUAUUUCAUUUUAACGAGUGACAGGUUUACCUGUAGUAGAGAGCUACAAUUAUUCAUUUACUGCAACAAGAUGCUGUAAGAUGGCAUACUGGUUAUUAAAAACAAACAAAACCAAAACCAAACCUAAACAUAAAGAAGGUGUUUUUGGGGGGCUACAGUACUCAGUCAGGGGUGACGAUGUCUCAGCAAGGAAUUACCGUGUGUUGUAACCAUGAUGGUGCUGGUGGGGCAACUCCUGGCAGUGUCAAACCCAGUUGAAUUGAAGCUCUGAGCUAUCUUUCUGUGUCAUAAAUUCUAAUGUGUCUUCCAUAUCUCUUUUCAGGGUGGGUGACUUCUUUGUGUUAGAAAUUCAUGCAUAUUCCCCGAUUGCUUUUUAAUCUGGUUGAUGGCCAUCUCCCACUUUAACACCAUCAGUUGCAGGAUGACAGCAUCAUCCUCUUUAAUGUGGACAAUUUUAGGCAAAUGUUUUUGAGGCAGUUUUGUGUAUUUGCUGCACACACACACAGAGAACAUAUGUUCAUGUCAUAUCGUAACAGGUGGUGUUAACCAGGUCAUAGCUAAGUAGGGGCCAUGGGGGCACAAGGCACAUUAUACAGAGGAACCAAACACAUGGGAACACUUGAAAAUUUUUGGAACAACACUGCAACAAGAGUAACAGAGAGAAACGCACCCUUGCAGACAAAACUGCUCAAAGGACAGUCUGUUAUUCCACAGCAGUCUCCAGAGUUAGAAAAUAAAGUGUAUUCUGCUGUGGGACACUCUGGUUCUGCUGCAGGACUUCAUCUUCUCUUUUCCAAAAGGAAAUACAACGGAAGUUAAACCUGGAGGCCAGCCACUGAACAACCCGUUAACUACAGCAAAUCUUUGAGGCACUCAGCUCCCUGUCUGCCUGCAAAAGGGUUUCCCCAAGCCAGGGCAGCCACCAGAGAGGUCCCAGCCUCCCUGCCAUAGAGUCUGGGGCACUGACUGCGACAGCCAUUGAUCAUAUCCCAGGAUUUCCACCAGCAAUUUAUCAGUCAGGAAAGCUGGAAUGCAGGAGUCCUCAGGUCUACCGUGGGAGCUGGUGUGUUUCCAAUUAGACUGAAAUUCACUUCUGCCCCGCUUGCCCUUUACCAGGAAUUUGCUGAAACUGGUAUUUCCAUGAACUAUUUACUUUCCAACAAAUUCCAGUGUUUCAACCCAAUAGAAGCCAGGUCCUGAUAAACUUUAGCAAUUUGUGUGACAAUCUAAUGUCUGAGAGUAAAAGGCAACAGGAACAAAGUCAAGAUCGACACCCCCACCCCGUCCCGCUGCUUAACUCAACCGGUUUUCUGGUUUAUGUGUUAUUUUUCAUGUCAACUGCCUGCUACAGCAUGUAUCCUUCUCAGGAGGAAAAAACAGAAUGAGACACCGGGUAACAGGUAUUACUCAGGUUUCACAUUUCAAUAAUGGUUUUUGCACUAUUUAUCUAUGAGAUAAGAUCAAAGAGAGAAGAGAUAUUAGAGGAAACUAUUUCAUAAAAUCAUAGAAUGUCCUGAGUUGGAAGGGAUCCACAAGGAUCAUCAAGUCCAACUCCUGCCCCACCUGUGACAACCCCACAGUUCACACCAUGUGUCUGAGGGUGCUGUUCAGUCUCUUCUUGAACACUGUCAAGCUUGGGGCCGUGACACCUCCCUGGGGAGCCUGUUCCAGUGCUACACCACCCUCUGGGGGAAGAACCUUUUCUGAAUGUCCAACCUAAACCUUCCCUGGCACAUCUUCCUGACAUUCGCUCGGGUUCUGUCACCGGUUGUCAGAGAGAAGAGAUCAGCACCUGCCCCUCCUCCUCCCCUUGUGAGGAAGCUGUAGCCACCAUGAGGUCUCCUCUCAGUCUCCUAUUCUCCAGGCUGAACAAACUAAGUGACUUUGGCCACUCCUCAUACGGCUUCCCCUCCAAACCCUUCACCAACCUCG